rnacentral:rRNA from 1 species
GACGAACGCUGGCGGCGUGCUUAACACAUGCAAGUCGAACGGAAAGGCCCUGCUUGCAGGGUACUCGAGUGGCGAACGGGUGAGUAACACGUGGGUGAUCUGCCCUGCACUUCGGGAUAAGCCUGGGAAACUGGGUCUAAUACCGGAUAGGAGCCAUUUUUAGUGUGAUGGUUGGAAAGUUUUUUCGGUGUAGGAUGAGCUCGCGGCCUAUCAGCUUGUUGGUGGGGUAAUGGCCUACCAAGGCGGCGACGGGUAGCCGGCCUGAGAGGGUGGACGGCCACAUUGGGACUGAGAUACGGCCCAGACUCCACGGGAGGCAGCAGUGGGGAAUAUUGCACAAUGGGCGCAAGCCUGAUGCAGCGACGCCGCGUGGGGGAUGACGGCCUUCGGGUUGUAAACUCCUUUCGCUAGGGACGAAGCUUUUUGUGACGGUACCUAGAGAAGAAGCACCGGCUAACUACGUG